UAACAUUUUUGUUUUCCUUUUGAUUGUAUUUUAAUAUUUUGUAUUCUUUCUUUUAUGCUAUUUGCCAUUGUGGACUUCUUGAUCUCCAGCAUCUGGCUAAAACUGGCACCUCCAACGAUGAUGAAUAGAGGAACACGGACACUUUUAAUAUAUCAUAACUUUUGUCUUGUAGACUUUCUUCUUAUUUUACAACAGUAAUUUAUUAAAGAGGUCAAAUUGUUUUAUAAAAAUGCUCCUUUUGUAGGCUUUCUGUUUAAUAAACAAGUGGUGUAAAAUGAUAUCUUCACAUUUUGCUGAUACCCCAGUUCCCAGGGAAUUUUGACUGUAAAUAUUAAAGGACAUUAUGAUCA